AAGCUGCAAGAGCAAUCAACCACCUUCAGCAUCAACUAGGAAUUGGUUUGGAGCAGGAUAUGCGACCAGUGGAAACUGCGACCUGGGAUACUUCUAUCUGCACCAUUCAAGACCAAAUAAUCAACCAUCAGCUUAGCGAAGAUCCACAAAACAUAUUGGUGCAACAACAGAUUCAACAGUAUGAUGCUGCGCUUUAUCCAAACAGUGGUUACACACCAGCACCUGAUCUCUUAAACCUUCUCCACUGCACUGUGGCUCCAGUGUUCCCUCCAACAGCAUCAGUUUUUGGUGAUACAGCACUAAGUGGUGGUACCAACUAUUUGGAUCUUAAUGAUGAGUUUACAGGAGUGGCAGCAAUUCCUGACAGUGGAUUAAUGUACACUAGUGAUCCGGCAUUGCAGUUAGGGUACCAUGCUGCCCAGUCUCACGCACUAAAGGAUAUCUGCCAUUCACUGCCGCAAAAUUAUGGGCUGUUCCCCAGUGAGGAUGAAAGAGAUGCCAUCCUUGGGGUUGGAAGUGUCGGAGGAGAUCUUUUUCAGGAUAUGGAUGACAGGCAAUUUGAUACUGUACUGGAGGGCAGAAGAGGGAAGGGUGACUUCGGAAAGGGAAAAGGAAAAGCUAACUUUGCGACAGAGAGAGAGAGGAGGGAACAGCUAAAUGUGAAGUAUAAGACUUUAAGAAUGCUCUUCCCCAAUCCUACCAAGGUUUGUCUUGUUCAUCAUUUUGCACGUUUAGGAGAUUUGAUGAUUAUCAGAUGUCCAGAAUAGUCAACUAUAGAAGCUAAUCACUAGGGUUUGUUCAAUGACGCUACAUGUACAGAAUACUUCAUUAAUAGAAGCUAACAAUUAAAAUUUCAGGCCACUUUCCAGUUUUCAUUGGUUUUGUGAAGAUAAUUGAAUUUCUGAAUAACUUCAUCCAUUUACUCUCAGUGUGUUAAGACACUUAGAAGUGGCAACACCAAAGUACUAUGCAGUCCGAUAAACCAGUGCUUUAUAAAACAUCAACAAAAACCCAUUCGCAAAACUGUCAUCUGUCUGAUGUAGAUUCAAAGAAACAUGUGUUAGAUAAUAUGCUUCUGCUGAACUUUCUGUCGAAUAGUUCUCAAGCUCUGUUGCUACAUUAUAUUCAGGUUGAUACUGAUAUCCUAUGAAACAUGAUUGCUAUGAACUAGUUGCUCGUUGUGCUCUUUGCAGAUACUUACCCCAUUAUCUUGAUCGAGUGUGUUUGUACCUUCUAGUUAAUUAUGAAAGAAAAUGAAAGCAAUCAAUAUUCCAUAUGUAUAUUGAUUUUUUUCAUAAGUAUUAUUGUCCUCAUUGCACUACUCUCCAGCAAAGUAUUGACCUCUAUAGUGAUCUAACCUUAACCGAUUAGACAACACUUCCUGAUUUACUCAAUGAAAACGUAAACAAUGUGACAGAAUCAUAAAAAUCUAGGUUGCACCUUUUGGGGCUACUGCUCAUAUAUGUUUGAUAUGGCACUAAUGUGUUACCGAACUGUUCUCUAGAAUGACAGGGCUUCAGUAGUAGGUGAUGCCAUUGAAUACAUAGAUGAGCUGAAUCGAACAGUGAAGGAACUGAAGAUCCUAGUGGAACAGAAGUGGCAUGGGACUAAUAGGAGAAAGAUAAGAAAGUUGGAUGAAGAGGCCGCUGCUGAUGGUGAAAGCUCAUCGAUGAGGCCAAUAAGGGAUGAGCAAGACAAUCAGCUUGAUGGGGCCAUAAGAAGCUCAUGGGUUCAGAGGAGGUCCAGGGAGUGCCAUGUUGAUGUUCGCAUAGUGGAAAAUGAAAUAAACAUCAAGCUCACAGAAAAGAAGACGACCAACUCCUCCCUGCUUCAUGUUGCAAAGGUUCUUGAUGAAUUCCAUCUUGAGAUCAUCCAUGUGGUUGGAGGGAUUAUUGGUGAUCACUACAUAUUCAUGUUUAACACUAAGGUAUUGACAGUAUUAUUUAUUUUAAGUAGCAUCAGGAACUCCUUUCCCCAUAUUGCCGAUUGUCAUUGACAGUAAUGUUCCAUCAUCCACAAUAAUGCAGGUGUCUGAAGGUUCCUCAAUUUAUGCUUGUGCAGUGGCAAAGAGGAUCCUUCAAGCAGUGGAUGCACAACACCAGGCACUUGACAUAUUCAACUAGGCAUUAGCACCCAUAGUAACUAUUUGAAGAAGUUCCUAGUCUACUACUCUCCCUGGGGAGAGUCGUAAUUUUAUUUUCUGUCAGUCUAUCCGUGAGGAAAGUUAUUAGAACAGGCUUGGAGAGAACUUUGUCUUUACCAUUAGCUAGCUCGGAAAACAAAACAAAAUCUGGCAUGCCUAACUGUUUACUGUUAUCACUUAUCUAGCUCUACCAGAAAUGAUUUGACUCUCUGCCUCAGUAUUUGCUUCCAUCAUCUUUUCGUCUCAUUUCAUUUGGAGUUGGCUUCAAAAUAUAGUACUCCCUCCGAUCCAUAUUAAUCGUCGCUGAUUUAGUAUAAUGUUGUACUAAAUCAGUGACAAUUAAAUAUGGAUCGGAGGGAGUAGAAGAUGAUGAUUUACACAUGUCUGCAUGGCCUACUAUGUUCUCUUUUACAGAAAGUGGCUUAGUGAGUUGCAUUCACUGGUACCAGUAUCACAUCUCAUAGGAUGCUACAUGCAUAUGAAAACUUCGCAGAUAUCCAAAAUCUGUGCAGAACUUCUACAAGCUGGGCCGAAUCGCUAGGUAAAUCGAGUUGCAUUGUGCGUGAUAAUUCGUGUGUAGAGGAAUAUGCCACCCAAUAGUUCUCAAAACCAUUGUCUUAGCAACGAGAUGAGAAAAAGGUAUGACGGUACGGUCUUACAUUCUUGCUAUCCGUGCAGCAGAUCUGCUCUGCUCGACUCGUACAAUGUCCCGAACACCUCGCGGGCACCACCCCGCCCCCGCAACGGCAAAGCUCCGGUCACGGCCAACACGCGAAUUGCAGUGACGCAGGAACAGCACGAGAUGUGAUGCCGCCCGUGGCACUCUGCGCCAGACCAGAAUCAGAUCAGGGGACUGAACAUUUCCAACCUGCAAUCGUAUUCUUGCAAAGAACAACAUUUUACCGGUGAGAUCUGCAGGGCCCGGGCGUGCGUCCGCUGCUUGCUUCCGCGCAGCUCCCGCACCGUCGAUGCUGCUCGUGGAACCGCUGCUCGCGUGCAGACGUGCUAGGGCACCAAAGGCUCUCCAGCUACGGGAGGGCACGCCUGUGGUUCAGGUCGCCGAGGAAGGGGGAGAGGAGGAUUGCACGAGCACUUACCAGGUGGCAAAAGAAAAGAAACCUGUUAGCCGCAAAUUUCGUCCCUAUCAGCGGACACGGAUCAGUCCGCGAACACGGAAGGCCGCAUACAUUUUGGUAACGAUAAAAACUACCUGGAGGAAAUUCGAUCAAAUAUGAAUUUAAUUUAAACAUGACGGUUUUGUUACAUUUACAUCAACUAAGCGUAGAUUG
rnacentral:lncRNA from 1 species